rfam:Piromyces finnis strain finn BCR36scaffold_17, whole genome shotgun sequence.
GGGGUGUUAGCUCAGCGGUAGAGCAAUUGACUGCAGAUCAAUAGGUCUUCGGUUCAAAUCCGGAACGCCCCU